AGAACGAACGCUGGCGGCAUGCCUAAUACAUGCAAGUCGAACGAACUCUUCGGAGUUAGUGGCGCACGGGUGCGUAACGCGUGGGAAUCUGCCCCUUGGUUCGGAAUAACAGUUGGAAACGACUGCUAAUACCGGAUGAUGACGAAAGUCCAAAGAUUUAUCGCCAAGGGAUGAGCCCGCGUAGGAUUAGCUAGUUGGUGAGGUAAAGGCUCACCAAGGCAACGAUCCUUAGCUGGUCUGAGAGGAUGAUCAGCCACACUGGGACUGAGACACGGCCCAGACUCCGUACGGGAGGCAGCAGUAGGGAAUAUUGGACAAUGGGCCGAAAGCCUGGACUCCGAGCAAUGCCGCGGUUAGAGUGAUGAAGGCCUUUAGGGUGUUAAACGCUUACUUUACCCGAGGUAUAG
rnacentral:rRNA from 1 species